rnacentral:misc_RNA from 1 species
AAACAUGGUCACGUGGUCACAUCAGCUCCACCCACCCAUGAAGUUUAAUCCAUUUAAGCCUACUGUACUUCGAGGGCUUCAAUAGACGCCUAAUUGAAAAGAUGGCUACGGGAGGUGAAAAUGAUGACACAGAGGUUGAUGCCGUUUUGGAUACCUCAUCAGAUGUACAGAAUGAAACUGAACACUAUGAUGUUGCCUUGCUUUUUGCCGAAAACGACAAAAACCAGGCCCUGGAAAUAUUGGAACAAAUGGAAGAAAUAACUGUAGAAAACGGAGAGAAACCCAAAGUUUGUCUGUACACUGAUCUGCCAGGGGCAUCAGCACACACUGAAGCCGGUAGAAACCUAACAAAGGUAGCCACACUUAUACUUGUGUUGGCCACUGAGAAUCUACAGGAUGAAGAGGUUGCAAAAUUAAUCAAGGAUGAGGCGAUAGGAAAUACUAGAUUGGCAUCGAAGUGUCAUCCCGGACUUAAAUACUGUGUGAGACCUCUCUAUUUAGACAAAGAGAGGAAGGCCCACCCGCCUGGUGGUCUCUCCACCAUCCAAGAAGUGAGGUGGUACGACAAAGAUUCCAGAUGCGGUCAGAGAGAUAUCAGAAUGUUACUGCAAAAUCACUUACAGUACAGAAACAAACGAGAGCGAGAGGACAGUCGUCAAAGAGUUACUGUUCGUGACACAAGGGGCUCUAGACCACCCAAAGAUUCUACGGAUAAUAUUAAUCUUGCGGUAUCAAUUGCAGUAAGACAAGCAGCUAUGGGUCACCGAGAACAAGAAGUUAUGGCAACGCCAGCCCCAGAAGUGGGCCAUCAAAGUUUCGAUUCCACUAACUUACAAAGACCUAACAACAUAAAUGGGUCUUCUAUCCAAUCUAGAAGUACCAAUGAAUCUUCAGAUGCUAGAGCCCCUGGUCAAUCGGAGAGUGAGAGGAACAAUCAUCAACCAUCUGACUCUACAAUGGCCCAAGGUGUUGCCUUGCCUAGAGUCGUUCAUUACCACACUCACUACCAUGGUGAAGGUCCAGGUCUUUCACAAGGAGGGCCACCACAGCGGGGGCUUCCAGGUGCCCCACGUUACCCUGGUCACCCAGCUGCACCUCCACCACAGAACCCUCAGCAACGUGGACCUGUGAACAUGAGUCAGCAAAGUCACAUCAACAUUGUCAACUGCGAGAACGUGCAGGUUGGAUCAAAUACCAAGAUGAUAAUCGGAGGCCAACGUGAAAGGAUGACAGAGAGAGACAAUGAGGCACCUUAUGACAGUCCGACAAGUGCUGCCCCAAACCAAGAAGAUUCACCCCCUCCAUAUUCCCAACAUAACCCAAGUUCCCCUGCUUCCACCGAAAGGAAGACCCCUUGGACUCAUGUCUCAUCGAUCCCCAGUCAGGCAGAACCAAGGGGAGAUAACCCAGCAUGUGGUGGGCAGGAGGCAGGUAUUGUUGAUGUCUCACAGCCUGGGUCAGAGAGCCUGGGAAAUGCUAGUGGGUUGAGUCAUGAUGGACCACGUUCCAGUUUCUCAUCUGAAAGGAUGGCAAGUGAAGGGAGACAAGUCCAGACCGGUUUGACUGAUCUUCAACCACAUUCAGAGAGUACAUCAGGUUUGAGUGACUUCACCAGCCACACCGUGCCAGAGCUUAGUUCUCCAAGUGCUUUUCUUGAGAUGGUACAAUCAGAGCUAUCUGAAGACAGGGACAGUUCUCUAAAGGAUGAGAGGAAGAAGACAUCAAAAUGAAAAACGACAUGCUUCCCAUGGAACAAGGAGAAUUAGUGCUAAUAUUGACUUACAUGGUGUCAAAAUUAGACAUACAUCACAAAAGUCGAAGCUGUACUUAGUGAGCUACCAUCCAAAAGUGAUUUCUCGAUUCCGAACCAUAAUCCCAGCUCAGAAUUUGUACCACUACCUUACCGAUUUUCUUGUUUAUUUCAUCGUAUGAAAACAUGAUGAAUCGAUGCUGUCUGCGCGCUAAUCGCCAUUCCUUUGGACGUAAACUCAUUAUAACAGUUUGGUGUAAGUGUCUUAAUGAGUUUACUUCAUCUGGUU